GGUGANUAACACGUGGGUANCCUACCUGUAAGACNGGGAUAACUCCGGGAAACCGGGGCNAAUACCGGAUGGUUGUUUGAACCGCAUGGUUCAAACAUAAAAGGUGGCUUCGGCUACCACNUACNGAUGGACCCGCGGCGCAUUAGCUANNNGGNGAGGUAACGGCUCACCAAGGCGACGAUGCGUAGCCGACCUGAGAGGGUGAUCGGCCACACUGGGACUGAGACACGGCCCAGACUCCUACGGGAGGCAGCAGUAGGGAAUCUUCCGCAAUGGACGAAAGNCUGACGGAGCAACGCCGCGUGAGUGAUGAAGGUUUUCGGAUCGUAAAGCUCUGUUGUUAGGGAAGAACAAGUACCGUUCGAAUAGGGCGGUACCUUGACGGUACCUAACCAGAAAGCCACGGCUAACUACGUGCCAGCAGCCGCGGUAAUACGUAGGUGGCAAGCGUUGUCCGGAAUUAUUGGGCGUAAAGGGCUCGCAGGCGGUUUCUUAAGUCUGAUGUGAAAGCCCCCGGCUCAACCGGGGAGGGUCAUUGGAAACUGGGGAACUUGAGUGCANAAGANGAGAGUGGAAUUCCACGUGUAGCGGUGAAAUGCGUANAGAUGUGGAGGAACACCAGUGGCGAANGCGACUCUCUGGUCUGUAACUGACGCUGANGAGCGAAAGCGUGGGGAGCGAACAGGAUUANAUACCCUGGUAGUCCACGCC
rnacentral:rRNA from 1 species